CUCCUCUCUCGGACUUAGCCACGCCCUUCAUUAGUUCCUGAGGGGAUUUUUCAGAACAGAGGUUAUGGCAGUUUCACCAUCCAAUUCCAUUUUUAUCAGGUGUGCUUCCUGGCCAAAGAAGUCAGAUGAGUGCAUGAGCAGCCCCUUUGAGGACAAGGCUUGGAUUCCCAGGAGCAGACAAGGAACUCUGUGGGCAUACUCCAAGGAAACUGGACCUCCUCUGUCACAGGAAAUCCACUGUUUAAGCACCACCACUACCUCAGGAAGUCCACUGUCUGUGUGUCAACUCCACUGUUACAGGACCACAAGUGUCUCAGCACUUCAACUAUCACAGCACUUCUACUGUUCAGGAUCUCAAGAGUCUCAGCAUCUCAAGUGUCACAGGACCUCCUUUGUCCAAGAACUGGACUGUCCAAGCAACACUACUAUUGCAGGACUUCCACUGUAGGAGCACUACAACUGUCUCAGGACACCCACUGUCCUAUAACCUCCACUAUCCCAGGAAUUCCACUGUCGUAGCACCACCCGUAGCAACUAAAGUGUUUCAGGACAUCAACUGAAGCAAGAUCUCCCAUGAUGCUGCAACUUCACUGCCACAGGAUCUCUACAGUGACAGGAAUACCCCUGUAUCAGCAAUUCCAAUUUUGCAGGACCUCCACUGUAGCAGAACCUUCAAUUGUGCAGCAGCUCCCCUGUAAGUAGAUUGACCACCACGAUCUCAGUGCCUCCACUUUCAAAGGACCUUCACUGUCACAGAACCGGCGCUAUUUCAGUGCCUCCACUGUCGCAGGACCUACCUCUUCACAGGAUCUGCACUGUUGCAGCAACUGUAAUUUCAAUUUUUCAAAGUCAUUGCUGGUUAUUAGAUUUGAGGCUGAAUGAAAUGUGAUGCUACUUUUGACAGCAUAAGAAUUUGUUCUAUAGCUCUUGUGAUAAAUGCCGUGUGUGCUAGGACCAGUAACCUAUGGAAGACUUCAUGAGCUCAUACCACUCUCCACCUCACUUUGUGGAAGCUGGUGUUUUUAGAGUGUGAUAAACUUCAGGUGAAUGGAUUCAUUCAGCUGCACCACGCUCUAUAGUGUGCUACACAGCAGUCAUAUUGAGUCCUUGCUGGGAAGAGAAGAAAUCCAGAAGAGGGAGAAGGCUUGGGUUGGGGGAAGAAUCAUAAAAUACUUAGAGGAUAUAAGAAGGUAAGAAUUAUGGGGAACUGGAAAACAGAGCCAGAGGAAGAAUGAGCACAGAGCAAACUGGGAAGGACAAAGUACAAAGGCACAUGGGUUUUGCCAUCUGCGUGUUCUCUGGACAAUCUCCCUUGGCCUCAUUUCUGGGAGAAAACUCUUCCUCCACCCCCUUGUAAUGUUUCAUUCUUGAAGGAAAGCAGCAACACAACUUCAUCAGUGAAUUUCCCCAUUGGAAUUGGUUCAUCCUUUAAUGCCUCUGGGAAAUCCCCAGCAGGGGAAUGUCCUGCUCUCUGCUGAGAGACAGCAGGAAAGUAGGUUGUCCUCUGUUUUCUCGUUGCUACAGCUCUUCUAAGUGUGGAUGAUUGUUGAGUGAAGACACAGGACACUUCUGGUGUGUAUGUAUGCUUUGUUCACUAUGGGUGUUGUCGGGAGUGUCCUGAAAAGAAGAAGGGCAUGCCCAAUGGCUCUUUGCUUCCUCUUUGACUAGCCUUAUGAUCAUAGAGAUACACUAGGCCAUUGGAAGAUGAGGAGAACAAUGUGUCUAUGUUGUGUUCACUUCUAUUCCUAUUUAGUCCUAGAGGGAAAUCAGCAAGGGUAGAGAAUGGGACCGUAACUGGACAAAGCUGCUGAGCCUGUGUUGUGAAGCAAUUCCUGUGUAUAACUUGCUGUUACAUUAAGCAAUAGGAUGCCAUGUUCUGUUUAUACCUUUUUGAUGCAAUGAAUCUAUAAUAUUUUACCUCAAACCUCAAUAUAUUACGUUUCUUCCUCUUUUGGAGUAUCUGGCAUGGGAGGGAUCACUUCUUCAUAAGGAUUUGUGAACCUCUUCUGGUUUUAUUGACCAGGGGUACAUCAUCACCUCUGAGACUGUCAGCCCAUAGUUUGGAUUGACUUUUAUUAAGAGGCUAAGCUGCCUCUUCUGACACCCCACAGUGAGCAGGGUACACACCUGCUACAACCUGUCUUCUGAACUGUUGUAUGACAACAGAGUCAAAUACAACAGUGAAAUAUAAGCCUACUCCUAAGAUCCAUAUAUUGUUGUUUUUUUUUUUUUUGCACCAUCAUAAAGUUGUCCUAGGAAGAGAUCAGG
ensembl:lncRNA